rnacentral:ncRNA from 1 species
AUACAGUCCGCAGGUCGCUGCAAAUUCAGCGACGCGGGUUUUGCAGCCCGGAUG